AUCCUGGCUCAGGACGAACGCUGGCGGCGUGGAUAAGGCAUGCAAGUCGAACGCGAACGGAACAACUAAUUCGUUAGUAGUUCCUAGUAGAGUGGCGAACGGGUGAGUAACGCGUGGAUAACAUACCUUUCAGUGGGGAAUAACAUCGGGAAACUGAUGCUAAUACCGCAGAUGUCAUUUCAUUGAUUUUGAUUUGACUGAAGGGGGGGCUCCUUUUGGACCUUCCGCUGAUAGAUUGGCCCGCGUCCCAUUAGCUAGUUGGUGGGGUAAAGGCCUACCAAGGCGACGAUGGGUAGCCGGCCUGAGAGGGUGUCCGGCCACACUGGGAUUGAGAUACGGCCCAGACUCCUUCGGGAGGCAGCAGUCGAGAAUCUUCCACAAUGUACGAAAGUAUGAUGGAGCGACGCCGCGUGUGUGAUGAAGGCUCAACGAGUUGUAAAGCACUGUCAGGGGGGAAGAAUCAGCGCAUAACUAAUAAAUAUGCGCUCUGACGUACCCCCAGAGGAAGCUCCGGCUAACUCCGUGCCAGCAGCCGCGGUAAUACGGAGGGAGCAAGCGUUGUCCGGAAUUAUUGGGCGUAAAGGGCACGCAGGCGGUUCGGUAAGUCGAAUGUGAAAUCUUACAGCUUAACUGUAAAACUGCGUUCGAAACUACCGAACUUGAGUACUGGAGAGGUAUGCGGAAUUCCUGGUGGAGCGGUGGAAUGCGUGGAUAUCAGGAAGAACACCGGUGGCGAAGGCGGCAUACUGGCCAAGUACUGACGCUCAGGUGCGAAAGCGUGGGGAGCAAACGGGAUUAGAUACCCCGGUAGUCCACGCUGUAAACGAUGGGUACUAGGUUUUGGAGGUCUCAACCCCUUCAGAGCCGCAGCUAACGCAUUAAGUACCCCGUCUGGGGAAAUACGGGGUCGCAAGGCUGAAAACUCAAAGGGAAAUUGACGGGGGCCCGCACCAAGCGGUGGAGCAUGUUGUUU
rnacentral:rRNA from 1 species